rnacentral:rRNA from 1 species
GUAGGUGGCAAGCGUUGUCCGGAAUUAUUGGGCGUAAAGCGCGCGCAGGCGGUUCUUUAAGUCUGAUGUGAAAGCCCACGGCUCAACCGUGGAGGGUCAUUGGAAGCUGGAGAACUUGAGUACAGAAGAGGAAAGCGGAAUUCCACGUGUAGCGGUGAAAUGCGUAGAGAUGUGGAGGAACACCAGUGGCGAAGGCGGCUUUCUGGUCUGUAACUGACGCUGAGGCGCGAAAGCGUGGGGGAGCAAACAGGAUUAGAUACCCUGGUAGUCCACGCCGUAAACGAUGAGUGCUAAGUGUUAGGGGGUUUCCGCCCCUUAGUGCUGCAGCUAACGCAUUAAGCACUCCGCCCUGGGAGUACGGCCGCAAGGCUG